AACGAACGCUGGCGGCAUGCCUAACACAUGCAAGUCGAACGAGACCUUCGGGUCUAGUGGCGCACGGGUGCGUAACGCGUGGGAAUCUGCCCUUGGGUUCGGAAUAACAGUUGGAAACGACUGCUAAUACCGGAUGAUGACGUAAGUCCAAAGAUUUAUCGCCCAGGGAUGAGCCCGCGUAGGAUUAGCUAGUUGGUGGGGUAAAGGCCUACCAAGGCGACGAUCCUUAGCUGGUCUGAGAGGAUGAUCAGCCACACUGGGACUGAGACGCGGCCCAGACUCCUACGGGAGGCAGCAGUGGGGAAUAUUGGACAAUGGGCGAAAGCCUGAUCCAGCAAUGCCGCGUGAGUGAUGAAGGCCUUAGGGUUGUAAAGCUCUUUUACCCGGGAUGAUAAUGACAGUACCGGGAGAAUAAGCCCCGGCUAACUCCGUG
rnacentral:rRNA from 1 species